rnacentral:rRNA from 1 species
UAGGGAAUAUUGCGCAAUGGGGGAAACCCUGACGCAGCGACGCCGCGUGAGUGAUGAAGGCCUUAGGGUCGUAAAGCUCUGUUGAAUGGGAAGAAACAAAUGACGGUACCAUUCGAGAAAGGACCGGCUAACUUCGUGCCAGCAGCCGCGGUAAGACGAGGGGUCCUAGCGUUGUUCGGAAUCAUUGGGCGUAAAGCGUGUGUAGGUGGCCUUUCAAGUCAGUUGUGAAAGCCCCGGGCUUAACCCGGGAAGUGCUUCUGAUACUGUUUGGCUUGAGUACUGGAGAGGAUAGUGGAAUUCCUGGUGUAGUGGUGAAAUACGUAGAUAUCAGGAGGAACACCGGUGGCGAAGGCGGCUAUCUGGCCAUGUACUGACGCUGAGACACGAAAGCGUGGGGAGCAAACAGGAUUAGAUACCCCCGUAGUCC